rnacentral:rRNA from 1 species
GCAGUCGAGCGGUAAGGCCCUUCGGGGUACACGAGCGGCGAACGGGUGAGUAACACGUGGGUGAUCUGCCUCGCACUUCGGGAUAAGCCUGGGAAACUGGGUCUAAUACCGGAUAUGACCUGCUGUCGCAUGGCGGUGGGUGGAAAGAUUUAUCGGUGCGAGAUGGGCCCGCGGCCUAUCAGCUUGUUGGUGGGGUAAUGGCCUACCAAGGCGACGACGGGUAGCCGGCCUGAGAGGGCGACCGGCCACACUGGGACUGAGACACGGCCCAGACUCCUACGGGAGGCAGCAGUGGGGAAUAUUGCACAAUGGGCGAAAGCCUGAUGCAGCGACGCCGCGUGAGGGAUGACGGCCUUCGGGUUGUAAACCUCUUUCGACAGGGACGAAGCGCAAGUGACGGUACCCUGUAGAAGAAGCACCGGCCAACUACGUGCCAGCAGCCGCGGUAAUACGUAGGGUGCGAGCGUUGUCCGGAAUUACUGGGCGUAAAGAGCUUGUAGGCGGUUUGUCGCGUCGUCCGUGAAAACUUGGGGCUCAACCCCAAGCUUGCGGGCGAUACGGGCAGACUUGAGUACUGCAGGGGAGACUGGAAUUCCUGGUGUAGCGGUGAAAUGCGCAGAUAUCAGGAGGAACACCGGUGGCGAAGGCGGGUCUCUGGGCAGUAACUGACGCUGAGAAGCGAAAGCGUGGGUAGCGAACAGGAUUAGAUACCCUGGUAGUCCACGCCGUAAACGGUGGGCGCUAGGUGUGGGUUUCCUUCCACGGGAUCCGUGCCGUAGCUAACGCAUUAAGCGCCCCGCCUGGGGAGUACGGCCGCAAGGCUAAAACUCAAAGGAAUUGACGGGGGCCCGCACAAGCGGCGGAGCAUGUGGAUUAAUUCGAUGCAACGCGAAGAACCUUACCUGGGUUUGACAUACACCGGAAACCUGCAGAGAUGUAGGCCCCCUUGUGGUCGGUGUACAGGUGGUGCAUGGCUGUCGUCAGCUCGUGUCGUGAGAUGUUGGGUUAAGUCCCGCAACGAGCGCAACCCUUGUCCUGUGUUGCCAGCGGAUUAUGCCGGGGACUCGCAGGAGACUGCCGGGGUCAACUCGGAGGAAGGUGGGGACGACGUCAAGUCAUCAUGCCCCUUAUGUCCAGGGCUUCACACAUGCUACAAUGGCCGGUACAGAGGGCUGCGAUACCGUGAGGUGGAGCGAAUCCCUUAAAGCCGGUCUCAGUUCGGAUCGGGGUCUGCAACUCGACCCCGUGAAGUUGGAGUCGCUAGUAAUCGCAGAUCAGCAACGCUGCGGUGAAUACGUUCCCGGGCCUUGUACACACCGCCCGUCACGUCAUGAAAGUCGGUAACACCCGAAGCCGGUGGCCUAACCCCUUGUGGG